CCCUGGGAACGGGGAGCGCGCAUCUGAGCCGAGUCUGUCUAUAAGAGCCGCCAGCCGGCACCCGCUCGCCCAUUCACAUUCCACCGCCCGCCCGAUCUCACGUGUCCGCCGAGUCGCCCAACCGGGAGCCCCGAGCGUGCUUAUCACCCGAUCACUCGCUUAUCAAUCGCUUAUCAGCCGCUUAUCGCUUUUAGUAGCCUGUCCAUUCGGUUCGAUUCUCCGAGGCUUCGAGGCCGGGUUUACCAUGAAACUCCACCCCGCCACCGCUCGGUUCCGAGUCCUUUCUCUCGUUUCUUUCUUUUUGUUUUUCCUAUGUGGUGUCCAGUCUCGUGCUUUGAGCCAGGAACUCUCGGCCCUACAGAACCUACGGCUAAAAGGACAUUUCAAAUGGAGUAUCAAAACGACGGAGAUCAAUCUCAGAAAUCUUAUUCCACUCACAUCAUCCAGACUGAAGCGAUCUCAUGAACACAUCAUAAAAGACUGUAUGGAGGUGCAGAGUGAGGAGGGUCAAUAUUUUUUUAAAGCAUCACAACGAGACAGUAAUAUGGUUUGUGGCGUCUACCUCUUGACGGAUCCGGACAAGAACAUCGAAGUAAUUUUUGACUACCUCAACGUACCCUGCGAGACGAAUGGACUCGUAUCGGUAAGUUUUUCGGCUGUUAUUUUAAAAUGGUAUACGCAACUGUGCUG
rnacentral:lncRNA from 1 species